rnacentral:rRNA from 1 species
UACGUAGGGGGCGAGCGUUGUCCGGAAUUACUGGGUGUAAAGGGCGUGUAGGCGGGAAGACAAGUCAGAUGUGAAAUACCGUGGCUUAACCACGGGGCUGCAUCUGAAACUGUUUUUCUUGAGUGUCGGAGAGGAAAGUGGAAUUCCCAGUGUAGCGGUGAAAUGCGUAGAUAUUGGGAGGAACACCAGUGGCGAAGACGACUUUCUGGACGAUAACUGACGCUGAGGCGCGAAAGCGUGGGGAGCAAACAGG